ensembl:miRNA
AGCACUUAAGCCCUGAGAACUGAAUUCCAUAGAUGGUGUUCAUAAAGAGUUC